rnacentral:rRNA from 1 species
GCUAGAAUGUCAGGACUACAGCACGGCGAUCAUUCCAGCUGAUAGCGAUGUAAGACAACACCGCAACUAGGAACAGGUCAAGAUCGUAACCGAGCAUGCAAUUGGGCAUAUGCACAAUCGGCGCAAGCCUGAAUGCAGCUGGCCGGAGUGGAUGACAAAGCUACGGAUCGUAACAGCACCUUCAGUCGUAAGCAUGUGUAGUAGUAAUAGCUGCAUCAUUGACCUCAGCGAACGAAGAAGCACUGCUUAACUCCUUGCUGCAGCCGUGGUAUACGGGGGGUGCAAGCUUAAUAGGAAUUACUAGGCGUAAGCCGCCUGCAGUUGGUUGUUAAGUAGAUGUGAAAGCCCCGGGGCUCAACCUGGGAAUUGCAUUUGAAACUGGCAGACAAGAGUACUGUAGAGGGGGGUAGAAUUCAGGUGAGCGAUGAAAUGCGUAGAGAUCUGAAGGAAUACUGGUGGCGAGGCCGGCCCCAGGACAGAUACUGACACUCAGAUGCGAAGCGUGGGGAGCAAACAGGAUAGAUACCAUGGUAGUCCACGCGUAAACGACGUCUACUCGGAGGUUGUGGCCCUGAGCCGUGGCUUUCGGAGCUAACGCGUUAAGUAGACCGCCUGGGGAGUACGGUCGCAAGAUUAAAACUCAAUGAAUUGACGGGGGCCCGCACAAGCGGUGGAGCAUGUGGUUUAAUUCGAUGCAACGCGAAGAACCUUACCUACUCUUGACAUCCAGAGAACUUUCCAGAGAUGGAUUGGUGCCUUCGGGAACUCUGAGACAGGUGCUGCAUGGCGUCGUCAGCUCGUGUUGUGAAAUGUUGGGUUAAGUCCCGCAACGAGCGCAACCCUUAUCCUUGUUUGCCAGCGAGUAAUGUCGGGAACUCCAGGGAGACUGCCGGUGAUAAACCGGAGGAAGGUGGGGACGACGUCAAGUCAUCAUGGCCCUUACGAGUAGGGCUACACACGUGCUACAAUGGCGCAUACAGAGGGCGGCCAACUUGCGAAAGUGAGCGAAUCCCAAAAAAUGCGUCGUAGUCCGGAUUGGAGUCUGCAACUCGACUCCAUGAAGUAGGAAUCGCUUGUCAUCGUGCCACAGAAUAUCACAAA